AGAGUUUGAUUCUGGCCCAGAAUGAACGCUGGCGGCGUGCUUAACACAUGCAAGUCGAACGAGAAAGUCUCUGCUUGCAGAGACGAGUAGAGUGGCGCACGGGUGAGUAACACGUGGAUAAUCUACCUUUGAAUUUGGAAUAACUGUUCGAAAGGGCAGCUAAUACCGGAUAAAGUGUUUGGGUCUUUGGGUCCUUUCAUGAAAGAGAGCCUCUGUUUCAUGCUUUUGUUUGAAGAUGAGUCCGCGUACCGUUAGCUGGAUGGUGGGGUAACGGCCUACCAUGGCGACGAUGGUUAGCUGGUCUGAGAGGAUGAUCAGCCACACUGGAACUGACACACGGUCCAGACUCCUACGGGAGGCAGCAGUGAGGAAUUUUGCGCAAUGGGGGAAACCCUGACGCAGCAACGCCGCGUGAGUGAAGAAGGCCUUUGGGUCGUAAAGCUCUGUCAACAGGGAAGAAGUUAUUAUACUUUAAUAGAGUAUGGUAUUGACGGUACCUGUGAAGGAAGCAUCGGCUAACUCCGUGCCAGCAGCCGCGGUAAUACGGGGGAUGCAAGCGUUAUUCGGAAUUAUUGGGCGUAAAGGGCACGCAGGCGGCCUUGUCAGUCAGAUGUGAAAGCCCGGGGCUCAACCCCGGACGUGCAUUUGAAACAGCAAGGCUUGAGUACGGUAGAGGAGAGGGGAAUUCCUGGUGUAGAGGUGAAAUUCGUAGAUAUCAGGAGGAACACCGGUGGCGAAGGCGCCUCUCUGGGCCUGUACUGACGCUGAGGUGCGAAGGCGUGGGUAGCGAACAGGAUUAGAUACCCUGGUAGUCCACGCAGUAAACGUUGUACACUAGGUGCUGCGGGUAUUGACCCCUGCAGUGCCGGAGCUAACGCAUUAAGUGUACCGCCUGGGGAGUACGGUCGCAAGACUAAAACUCAAAGAAAUUGACGGGGGCCCGCACAAGCGGUGGAGCAUGUGGUUUAAUUCGACGCAACGCGCAGAACCUUACCCAGACUUGACAUCUUGAGAAUUUUCCUAGAGAUAGGAAAGUGCCUUCGGGAGCUCAAAGACAGGUGCUGCAUGGCUGUCGUCAGCUCGUGUCGUGAGAUGUUUGGUUAAGUCCAGCAACGAGCGCAACCCUUGUCUUCAGUUGCCAUCAUUUAAGUUGGGAACUCUGGAGAGACUGCCCCGGUUAACGGGGAGGAAGGUGGGGAUGACGUCAAGUCCUCAUGGCC
rnacentral:rRNA from 1 species